GUGCCAGCCGCCGCGGUAAUACCGGCAGCCCGAGUGAUGGUCGAUCUUAUUGGGCCUAAAGCGUCCGUAGCUGGCCUCGCAAGUCCGUCGGGAAAUCCAGUAGCUCAACUACUGGGCGUCCGGCGGAAACUGCAAAGCUUGGGACCGGAAGGCUCGAAGGGUACGUCCGGGGUAGGAGUGAAAUCCCGUAAUCCCGCACGGACCACCGAUGGCGAAAGCACCUCGAGAACACGGCUCCGACAGUGAGGGACGAAAGCCAGGGUCUCGAACCGGAUUAGAAACCCUUGUAGUCC
rnacentral:rRNA from 1 species